rnacentral:rRNA from 1 species
UACGAAGGGGGCUAGCGUUGUUCGGAGUUACUGGGCGUAAAGGGCGCGUAGGCGGCGCACCAAGUCAGGCGUGAAAGCCCUGGGCUCAACCCGGGAAUUGCGCUUGAGACUGGUGUGCUUGAGUACGGGAGAGGAUAGUGGAAUUCCCAGUGUAGAGGUGAAAUUCGUAGAUAUUGGGAAGAACACCGGUGGCGAAGGCGGCUAUCUGGACCGUAACUGACACUGAGGCGCGAAAGCGUGGGGAGCAAACAGG